ACGGAGGGUGCGAGCGUUGUCCGGAUUUAUUGGGUUUAAAGGGUGCGUAGGUGGCCUUUCCAGUCAGCGGUGAAAUCCUGGGGCUCAACCCCGGAACUGCCGUUGAUACUGUUAGGCUUGAGUAUCGGAGGGGUAAGCGGAAUUUGUGGUGUAGCGGUGAAAUGCAUAGAUACCACAAGGAACACCAGAGGCGAAGGCGGCUUACUGGCCGAUAACUGACACUGAUGCACGAAAGCAUGGGGAGCGAACAGG
rnacentral:rRNA from 1 species